rnacentral:rRNA from 1 species
AUACGUAGGGGGCUAGCGUUGUCCGGAAUCAUUGGGUGUAAAGCGCGCGUAGGCGGCCCGGUAAGUCCGUUGUAAAAGUCAAAGGCUCAACCUUUGAAAGCCGAUGGAUACUGCCGGGCUCGAGUCCGGAAGAGGCGAGUAGAAUUCCUGGUGUAGCGGUGGAAUGCGCAGAUAUCAGGAGGAAUACCCAUAGCGAAGGCAGCUCGCUGGGACGGUACUGACGCUAAGGCGCGAAAGCGUGGGGAGCGAACAGGAUUAGAUACCCUGGUAGUCCACGCCGUAAACGAUGGGCACUAGGUGUGGGAGGUGUCGACUCCUCCCGUGCCGACGCUAACGCAUUAAGUGCCCCGCCUGGGGAGUACGGCCGCAAGGCUAAA